rnacentral:tRNA from 1 species
GGGCCAAUCGUAUAAUGGUUAUUAUACUCGGCUGGCAGUCGAGUGAUUCGGGUUCGAUUCCCGAUUGGUCCA